GUAAGAUCCUCCAGCACUCGGGUGAAACGAGGCGAUGCCGUUAAAGUUCAACACAAAGUCUUUCCUGUCGCACACUGGAGAAGAGUGAGACUGAUAGCGAGGGAUUCCCACUGCAAUAAAAACCCAAAAUCACGGGGGUAAAAUAAACUUCCUACAGGGACAAAGCAUGCACACUGAAGAUGGCACCGCUCCAGCUUGAAAUAUAUUUCUAAUGAAAUUUCAGAAAUAUUUCUUUUGUAAACCUUCUGACCAAAAUUCCUUUUAUUUUUAUUUUUUUUUUUUUUUAAAUAAAAUGUAAUGCUUAAAAAACAUAAGAGGCGUCUAAAUAUUUCACUGUAGAAUCCAGAAAAGUUUCGGUUAGUUUUAGAGUCCAGUAUUAUUACACAGUAAUGAAUUAUUUCAGUCGUUUCUAUACAUUAACAAAUAAAGAUCAUGAGCAGAGACCACACUUGAUCACGUGCAUUCUAUUAAGUACACGUAAGCUAUGAUAGGGUGCAUUAACAUUCCACCCAUGCUUCUUAUAAAAAGAAAUAAACAGAAAGAAAUAAACAAGUACAUAAA